GAUGAACGCUGGCGGCGUGCCUAAUACAUGCAAGUCGAGCGAACGGACGAGAAGCUUGCUUCUCUGAUGUUAGCGGCGGACGGGUGAGUAACACGUGGAUAACCUACCUAUAAGACUGGGAUAACUUCGGGAAACCGUAGCUAAUACCGGAUAAUAUUUUGAACCGCAUGGUUCAAAAGUGAAAGACGGUCUUGCUGUCACUUAUAGAUGGAUCCGCGCUGCAUUAGCUAGUUGGUAAGGUAACGGCAUACCAAGGCAACGAUGCAUAGCCGACCUGAGAGGGUGAUCGGCCACACUGGAACUGAGACACGGUCCAGACUCCUACGGGAGGCAGCAGUAGGGAAUCUUCCGCAAUGGGCGAAAGCCUGACGGAGCAACGCCGCGUGAGUGAUGAAGGUCUUCGGAUCGUAAAACUCUGUUAUUAGGGAAGAACAUAUGUGUAAGUAACUGUGCACAUCUUGACGGUACCCAAUCAGAAAGCCACGGCUAACUACGUG
rnacentral:rRNA from 1 species